UCCAUACUGGCAUAUUUCACGAGUUGAAACAAUGAAAAAAAUCUAACUUUUUAUUUGUACGUCACGUUGCAAAUGUAUAAUAUUUUGUUAUUUUAACCUUUCCGUCACCAGCUAAAUUCGAGUUCAAAUUUCCAAAGCAGUACACAGCAGACGAAGAGUCAAUGGGGUUGAAAUGUCUUAACAAAACGUCGAUCGGCCCAACAAGGAUGAGAUUUGUAGUCAUUGGCAUUAUGUCCAUCACGUUUUUAAUCCAAGUACAUAAUCAUAUUUGAAGAUUUAGCGCCUUGGCCCCUGAGUCUUGACAUUUUCUCAGUCCAUUUGGAGCGCCAUUUAUCAACCGGCUUUAUUGGCUUUUCCAGACUGGACUAGCCGAUCGCUGUCCUUAUUGCCCAUAUGGGGCAAUGUGAUGACUGCAGUGUUAGUGUUACCAGUAUGUCUAAUGGUCGAUAAAUAUGGAUUAAAAGAAAUCCUGUCAUAUUCGUGCUGUUUUUUCACGUUGGGCACGGCUGUUCGAUGUAUGCCAAUUAUGUACUCUUGUACGCUGUGUUUGCACUUGUCAGCCGUAUGUCUGUCUGUGGGCAGCGUGGUUACAACACCUUUAAUUAUAACAAUGUCGAGACAGUGGUUUCCCAAGAAAGAAAGAAAUAUGGCUAUUGGUUUAUGCUCGGCCGUGAGUACGUUGGGAUCGGCGGCAACGUACAUUAUUGGUCCCAUAAUGGUGUCUACGACCUCUGACGGACCAUUAAGCCGGUACGUCGUAAGAAUUCAGAUUAUGCACAUAAUGUAUACAUGUAUGGAGACUUAAACGCUUUGCGCGUCCCUAAAAUAAAUAUAUUACAAUGGUAUCGUCCAUACCAUAUGUGUAUACUUACAGGUCUGGGUUUAAACGCGUUAGUCACUCUUAUGGUUUAUCUAUUGUUUCCGAAAUACAUUAUGCCGCUGAGUUGCAACGAGUCUAUAUGGUCAGCAGAGUCGCACUAUAGCGCUUGCAAACUGUUUUGCUCGCUCAAAACACUUGUCAUGAAUUUCGAAUUGUGGUGUCUUGUAUUAGUGCUCGCGUUGUCCAACUUGAUGGCGGUCCCGUGGUUGAUGCUAAUACCGUCGACUUUUUCCAAACUCAACGUGUCACCUGAAAUCACUACACAAUGUUGUUUUUUCAUAAUCAUUCAUACUUUUGGUCUAAAACUGUCAAUCAGCAGUUUUGCGGACCGUGACCCUCGCUACACCAAGGUAUUCAUUAUGAUCAGUCGUUUCGUGUCGCUAAUCUUUUUCCUGUGGUUAAUGCUCAUGUUGAAUUUCAACGCCAAACUCACGACUACUAGACUGUUUUGUGCUGUUCUGAUAGCUUUCCCAUACAGCUUUUGUAGCCAGUCGCUCCUGUGUGAAAUGGGCGUCGAACUGAUGUGUUCGUUACCCGAGAGCUUCGUCGCGGGUUACAUAACGGUGAUGAACAAUUUGUUUGUGGAUUUCAUAUAUGUGGUGUUGUAUUUUUUCCCCCGUUUCGGUAAUACUAUAACUAUUAGAUUUUAUAAAUCAGUCCGCUGAAUGGUAGUACACUGAAUAAAUAUAUUAUGAUGUAUAUAGAAUUAAGUUUUAACCAAUUCGCACCGUAUUAAAAAGUUUACGUAUAAAUGAGGUAUAUCAUACGUGAAAAUAUCAAUAAAACUUUUUAUACUUGAUUUGUUUUUCCAGUGUUCCAGUUAUUUUUGUGGAGUGUUACAUUUUUAUUUUUCAGACGAAUACUGGCUGAACAUUGGUAUAUUCGUUUUCUCGGCUCUAAGCUUAUUCUUUCUGUGUCUUGUCGCGGACGUGACUAGAGAAAAAAAACAAUUCAAUCAACACAUAUUAAAUUAUUUUGAUUUUAUAGCUACGCUUGAUGUCUCAAAAACCAACACAACUAAACAAACAACCAACUUUUAAUCCUUCUAUGUUACAUAAUAAUAGAUAAUUAUUUAUUUUGGUAAGUAGCAAGAACUUACGUGUCCAGUUGGAAAUACCUUUAAUUAUAUUAAAUAUUUUUAUGCCAUGUUAAUUCAAUGAUAAAUAAUACGAGUAUGAGUUAUAGUAUUAUUUUUUUCGAAAAUGUUAAUUUAUCAUGACCUAAAAUUAUUUUAAACAUUUUUGA